CCAAGCUGUUUCUUCCACAUUGAUGACAAGCCUCUCCUUCAUCUUACUAGCUGUUGUUGGUUCUCCACCAUCAGUUAAAUCCUCAUUAUUUUUUGUGAGGACUAAUAAGGAAUCUUGAUUAUCCUCUCAUAAUCUUGUCUUGAUUAGCCUCUUACUAUAAAUCAGGAACUGGAUCAUUAUCAUCAGUGAGGGUGCAUUUAGGGAAAUAAGAGAAUUGGGUCAUAGAUUUUUUUUUUCUGAGGGGGAGCCAUGAGAAAAAAAGCAUGGAGGUAAACUGGUAGGAAAACCAGUUUGACUGAAUCUAAGAAAGUGGUGUUUUUCAGACAAAACAACCUUGAAGCUGCAAGUGGAAGAAAGAGAGUAUACUUGUUUGAAGAUGCAACAUCUGGAAGACCAUAAUACAAGCCGCAAUUACUUGAUGACUGAUUUUGUGAUAAAUUCUUCAUCUCAAGAUUGUUCAGAAGAAAUUUACUGCAAAUAUUCAAAACUAAAGCUGUAUUUGGUUAGUUUUGGUAGGAAACCAAACGUUACCUUUUCUGUUUGCUGGCUACCUCUGCAGAACCAGCUUUCCAGUUCUCACACUUGCUGGGUGUCUUGGGUUUUCCAUCGGUGAUUAAAGCCCCGGGAUCUGCUCUGAGGCUAGCCAUCUUUCAGUGCUCUAAAGAAACUCGCCAUAGAAUGAAAAUCAUAUCAGGAGCAAUUAGACAAAAGGUCAGCAUAAAUUCCUCCUGUAUCCAGAGCAUUAUCAUCACCCAAGUGUCUCUUGCUUACAGUAUGUUGUGACAAAGUAAAAGCUAUUUCAGCUCUUAUAUUGUGAUGGCUGUUAUUUAUGGAACAUAAAAGGAUACUGAAAUACAAAAGGGUUUGAAAAGACCAGGGUAAGAUCAGAUAAA